AUUGAACGCUAGCGGCAUGCUUUACACAUGCAAGUCGAACGGUAACAGGGUGCUUGCACCGCUGACGAGUGGCGAACGGGUGAGUAAUGCGUCGGAACGUGCCGAGUAGUGGGGGAUAACGCAGCGAAAGUUGUGCUAAUACCGCAUACGUACUGAGGUAGAAAGUGGGGGACCUUCGGGCCUCACGCUAUUCGAGCGGCCGACGUCUGAUUAGCUAGUAGGUGAGGGAAAGGCUCACCUAGGCGACGAUCAGUAGCGGGUCUGAGAGGAUGAUCCCCCACACUGGGACUGAGACACGGCCCAGACUCCUACGGGAGGCAGCAGUGGGGAAUUUUGGACAAUGGGCGAAAGCCUGAUCCAGCCAUGCCGCGUGUCUGAAGAAGGCCUUCGGGUUGUAAAGGACUUUUGUCAGGGAGGAAAUCCCUAGUGCUAAUAACACUGGGGGAUGACAGUACCUGAAGAAUAAGCACCGGCUAACUACGUGCCAGCCGCCGCCGUAA
rnacentral:rRNA from 1 species